rnacentral:rRNA from 1 species
GAUGAACACUGGCGGCGUGCCUAACACAUGCAAGUCGAACGAACCUUGGGGAACAGAUUACUUCGGUUUGAAGUUCCCCGUUGGUUAGUGGCGGACGGGUGAGUAACGCGUGGGUAAUCUGCCCUCGGCACCGGGAUAGCCCGGGGAAACCCGGAUUAAUACCGGACGGCCCAUCCGCUCUUCGGGGCGGCUGGAAAAGGUAGCUUCGGCCUCCGGCCGAGGAGGAGCUCGCGGCGGAUUAGCUUGUUGGCGGGGUAACGGCCCACCAAGGCGACGAUCCGUAGCUGGUCUGAGAGGACGAUCAGCCACACUGGGACUGAGACACGGCCCAGACUCCUACGGGAGGCAGCAGUGGGGAAUCUUGCGCAAUGGGCGAAAGCCUGACGCAGCGACGCCGCGUGCGGGAAGAAGGCCUGGUGUAACGCGUU